rnacentral:rRNA from 1 species
GACGAACGCUGGCGGCGUGCUUAACACAUGCAAGUCGAACGGAAAGGCCCUGCUUGCAGGGUGCUCGAGUGGCGAACGGGUGAGUAACACGUGGGUGAUCUGCCCCUUACUUUGGGAUAAGCCUGGGAAACUGGGUCUAAUACUGGAUAGGACCAUGCUGUAGGUGGUGUGGUGGAAAGAUUAGUUUCGGUAAGGGAUGAGCUCGCGGCCUAUCAGCUUGUUGGUGAGGUAAUGGCCUACCAAGGCGUCGACGGGUAGCCGGCCUGAGAGGGUGGACGGCCACAUUGGGACUGAGAUACGGCCCAGACUCCUACGGGAGGCAGCAGUGGGGAAUAUUGCACAAUGGGCGCAAGCCUGAUGCAGCGACGCCGCGUGGGGGAUGACGGCCUUCGGGUUGUAAACUCCUUUCAGCCAUGACGAAGCCCUUGUGGUGACGGUAGUGGUAGAAGAAGCACCGGCUAACUACGUG